GGUUUUGUAAUUUUAUUUUAUAUUUUGAAAACAUAGCAAAAUCUAUUCCCUCCAUGCGAAAUCGAUUCUCUCGAUUGAGAAUUUCCCUCGAUUACGAAUUGGUUUCCCCUCCUUAAGAAACAAUUACAAUGUUUCAAGAAGUCAUGCACUUAGGCAUAAGAAGCCAUGCAAACUCCAUGAAUACGAAGAACAACUCCAUCAGCUGCAUGUGAGGUAAGUUGAAAUUAAAAAAAAAGAAAGAAAAAAAGAAAAAAUGAUGUACAUAUAUGUAAAAGGCCAUGCCUUUCAUCCUCAUUUCUUCAUCC
rnacentral:lncRNA from 1 species